rnacentral:rRNA from 1 species
AUGAAGUAUCAACUGCCGAUAUCCAAGGUACGUGGGCAAGGGUAUGACGGUGCGAGUAACAUGAAGGGUCAUGUUAAUGGUUUGAAGAAACUAAUCAUGGAAGAUUCUCCUUCUGAUUAUUAUGUUCAUUGCUUCGCCCAUCAGCUUCAACUAACCCUUGUAGCUGUUGCUAAGGAGAAUAUUGAUUGCAAAUGGUUCUUUGGGCACCUUGCAUAUUUGUUGAAUGUUCUUGGGAUGUCAUGUAAAAAGAUCCGCAUGCUUCGCGUAGCUCAGGCUGAGUAUAUGAUUGAAGCAUUGAAACUAGGUGAAAUUGAAGCUGGCCAAGGUUUGAAUCAAGAGAUGGGCCUAGCAAGGCCCGGUGACACACGAUGGGGAUCUCACUACAAAACGGUAAUGCAUGUUAUGUCUUUGUAUCCUUCAAUCAGGAAAGUUCUCUUUAGGCUUGGGAAAGAAAGUAAUUCGGCAGAGGCUUUAGGAGCUCAAACUAUGUUGGAAGUAUUUAAAUCAUUUGAGUUUGUUUUCAUGUUGCACUUGAUGAAUGAAAUAUUUGGGUACACAAGCGACUUAAGUAACGCUUUGCAAAAGAGGGAUCAAGAUAUUGUGAAUGCAGUUGAUCUUCUCGAGUUCACAAAGGUACAACUGCAAGUUCUAAGAGAAGAUGAUGGAUGGAAAGAAUUCCUUGAGAAUGUCACUUCUUUUUGUGUGAAGCACAAUGUCAGAUGUGUUGAUAUGGAUGGGAAGUACAAGCCUAUACAAAGAGCAAGAGCGUUCUAUAAAAAUGCCAUGAAUUACCACCGGUUCCAUGCUGAUAUGUUUUUGGGUGUCAUUGAUAGGCAACUUCAAGAGCUUAAUAACAGGUUUGAUGAGGUAAACACGGAGCUACUUAGAUGCAUGGCAUCAUUCAGUCCAGCCAAGUCAUUUUCUUCUUUUAAUAUUGAUGACCUGGUUAAGCUUGCUGGGUUCUAUCCUCAUGAUUUUGACUUUGAAGAAAUGCACCAACUUCCUUUUCAAUUGAAUCUCUAUAUUACUGAUGUGAGGAAUGAUGAAAACUUCACAAACUUGAGAAGUCUAGCAGAGUUGUCUAUGAUGCUUGUUAGAACAGGGAGGGCUCUUCGGUAUGAUAUUGUUUACAAACUUCUCAAAUUGGUGCUAGUCCUUCCUGUUGCAACAGCCGGUGUUGAGAGGGUCUUUUCAUCAAUGAACUAUAUAAAAAACAAGCUAAGAAGCAAGAUGGGGCAAAAAUACUUGAAUGGUUGCUUGGUCACAUUCAUUGAAAGGGAUUUCUUCUUGCAAGUUAAGGAUCAGGACAUUAUCACACAUUUUCAAAGCAUCAAGGAUCGCAAAGUUAUCCUGUGA